rnacentral:rRNA from 1 species
UACGUAGGGGGCAAGCGUUGUCCGGAAUUAUUGGGCGUAAAGAGCGUGUAGGCGGUCCGGUAAGUCCGCUGUGAAAGUCCAGGGCUCAACCCUGGAAUGCCGGUGGAUACUGCCGGGCUAGAGUCCGGAAGAGGCGAGUGGAAUUCCUGGUGUAGCGGUGAAAUGCGCAGAUAUCAGGAGGAACACCGAUGGCGAAGGCAGCUCGCUGGGACGGUACUGACGCUGAGGAGCGAAAGCAUGGGGAGCGAACAGG